ensembl:misc_RNA Metazoa_SRP Metazoan signal recognition particle RNA
GCCAGGUGUGGUGGCGUGUGCCUGUAGUCCUAGUUACUUGUGAGGCUGAAGCAGGAGGAUCGUUUGAGCCCAGGAGGUCAAGGCUGCAGUGAGCUAUGAUAGCACCACUGCACUCUAGCCUGGGCAACAGAGUGAGACCCUAUUUCCA